AACGAACGCUGGCGGCAUGCCUAACACAUGCAAGUCGAACGAGACCUUCGGGUCUAGUGGCCCACGGGUGCGUAACGCGUGGGAACCUGCCCUUAGGUUCGGAAUAACUCCCCGAAAGGGGUGCUAAUAACGGUUCAUGUCUUCGGACCAAAGGUUUAUCGCCUUUGGAUGGGCCCGCGUUGGAUUAGCUAGUUGGGAGGGUAAAAGCCUACCAAGGCGCCGAUCCAUAGCUGGUCUGAGAGGAGGAUCAGCCACACUGGGACUAAGACACGGCGCAGACUCCUACGGGAGGCAGCGGUGGGGAAUAUUAGACAAUGGGCGAGAGCCUGAGCCAGCAAUGCCGCGUGAGUUAUGAAGGCCUUAGGAUUGUAAAGCUCUUUUACCCGGGAAGAUAAUGACAGUACCGGGAGAAUAAGCUCCGGCUAACUCCGUG
rnacentral:rRNA from 1 species